rnacentral:rRNA from 1 species
CCUACGGGAGGCAGCAGUGAGGAAUAUUGGUCAAUGGGCGCGAGCCUGAACCAGCCAAGUCGCGUGAGGGAAGACGGUCCUAUGGAUUGUAAACCUCUUUUGUCGGGGAGCAAAAGACGCCACGCGUGGCGUUCCGAGAGUACCCGAAGAAAAAGCAUCGGCUAACGCCGUGCCAGCAGCCGCGGUAAUACGGAGGAUGCGAGCGUUAUCCGGAUUUAUUGGGUUUAAAGGGUGCGAAGGCGGAAGAGCAAGUCAGCGGUAAAAUUGAGAGGCUCAACCUCUUCGAGCCGUUGAAACUGGUUGUCUUGAGUGAGUGAGAAGUAUGCGGAAUGCGUGGUGUAGCGGUGAAAUGCAUAGAUAUCACGCAGAACUCCGAUUGCGAAGGCAGCAUACCGGCGCUCAACUGACGCUCAUGCACGAAAGUGUGGGUAUCGAACAGGAUUAGAUACCCGAGUAGUC